rnacentral:rRNA from 1 species
GGUGGCUCAUUAAGUCACAUGUGAAAUCCCCGGGCUUAACCUGGGAACUGCAUGUGAUACUGGUGGUGCUAGAAUAUGUGAGAGGGAAGUAGAAUUCCAGGUGUAGCGGUGAAAUGCGUAGAGAUCUGGAGGAAUACCGAUGGCGAAGGCAGCUUCCUGGCAUAAUAUUGACACUGAGAUUCGAAAGCGUGGGUAGCAAACAGGAUUAGAUACCCUGGUAGUCCACGCCGUAAACGAUGUCUACUAGCCGUUGGGGUCCUUGAGACUUUAGUGGCGCAGUUAACGCGAUAAGUAGACCGCCUGGGGAGUACGGCCGCAAGGUUAAAACUCAAAUGAAUUGACGGGGGCCCGCACAAGCGGUGGAGCAUGUGGUUUAAUUCGAUGCAACGCGAAGAACCUUACCUGGUCUUGACAUAGUGAGAAUCCUGCAGAGAUGCGGGAGUGCCUUCGGGAAUUCACAUACAUGGUGCUGCACUGGCUGUCGUCAGUCUCGUGUUCGUGAGAUGUUUGGGUUAAGUUCCCGCAAUCGAGCGCAACCCUUUUCCCUUAUUUGCCAGUCGGGUUAAGUCCGGGAACUUUAAGGAUAGUGUCCAGUGACAAACCUGGAGGAAGGUCGGGGACGACGUCAAGUCAUCAUGGCCCUUACGACCAGGGCUACACACGUGCUACAAUGGUAGGUACAGAGGGUUGCUACACAGCGAUGUGAUGCUAAUCUCAAAAAGCCUAUCGUAGUCCGGAUUGGAGUCUGCAACUCGA